rnacentral:rRNA from 1 species
GACGAACGCUGGCGGCGUGCUUAACACAUGCAAGUCGAACGGUGACCCAUCUUCGGAUGGUGAUCAGUGGCGAACGGGUGAGUAACACGUGGGCAACCUGCCCCUAGCUCUGGGAUAACUCCUCGAAAGAGGUGCUAAUACCGGAUAUCACCUCCCUGGACAUCCAGGGUGGUUGAAAGUCUUUCGGCUAGGGAUGGGCCCGCGGCCUAUCAGCUUGUUGGUGGGGUAAUGGCCUACCAAGGCGACGACGGGUAGCCGGCCUGAGAGGGCGACCGGACACACUGGGACUGAGACACGGCCCAGACUCCUACGGGAGGCAGCAGUGGGGAAUAUUGCGCAAUGGGCGAAAGCCUGACGCAGCAACGCCGCGUGAGGGAUGACGGCCUUCGGGUUGUAAACCUCUUUUUACGGGGGGAGAGGAAGGACGGUACCCCGAGAAUAAGUCACGGCUAACUACGUGCCAGCAGCCGCUGAAACAC